GCUCAACUGAGGAAUGGCUUUGGAUACUGGAUGACUUGAGUGCAGUAGAGGAAAGUGGAACUCCAUGUGUAGCGGUGAAAUGCGUAGAUAUAUGGAAGAACACCAGUGGCGAAGGCGGCUUUCUGGACUGUAACUGACGUUGAGGCUCGAAAGUGUGGGUAGCAAACAGGAUUAGAUACCCUGGUAGUCCACACCGUAAACGAUGAGUGCUAGAUGUUCGAGGGUUUCCGCCCUUGAGUGUCGCAGCUAACGCAUUAAGCACUCCGCCUGGGGAGUACGACCGCAAGGUUGAAACUCAAAGGAAUUGACGGGGACCCGCACAAGCGGUGGUGCAUGUGGUUUAAUUCGAAGCAACGCGAAGAACCUUACCAGGUCUUGACAUCCCUUGCUAAUCCUAGAAAUAGGACGUUCCCUUCGGGGACAAGGUGACAGGUGGUGCAUGGUUGUCGUCAGCUCGUGUCGUGAGAUGUUGGGUUAAGUCCCGCAACGAGCGCAACCCUUAUUAUUAGUUGCCAGCAUUCAGUUGGGCACUCUAGUGAGACUGCCGGUGACAAACCGGAGGAAGGUGGGGAUGACGUCAAAUCAUCAUGCCCCUUAUGACCUGGGCUACACACGUGCUACAAUGGCAUAUACAACG
rnacentral:rRNA from 1 species